UGGCCAGACUCCUACGGGAGGCAGCAGUGGGGAAUAUUGCACAAUGGGGGAAACCCUGAUGCAGCGACGCCGCGUGAGUGAAGAAGUAUUUCGGUAUGUAAAGCUCUAUCAGCAGGGAAGAAAAUGACGGUACCUGACUAAGAGGCCCCGGCUAACUACGUGCCAGCAGCCGCGGUAAUACGUAGGGGGCAAGCGUUAUCCGGAUUUACUGGGUGUAAAGGGAGCGUAGACGGUCCUGCAAGCCAGAUGUGAAAGCCCGGGGCUCAACCCCGGGACUGCAUUUGGAACUGUAAGGCUAGAGUGUCGGAGAGGCAGGCGGAAUUCCUAGUGUAGCGGUGAAAUGCGUAGAUAUUAGGAGGAACACCAGUGGCGAAGGCGGCUUACUGGACUGUAACUGACGUUGAGGCUCGAAAGCGUGGGGAGCAAACAGGAUUAGAUACCCGCGUAU
rnacentral:rRNA from 1 species